UUAACUCAAAUUUGUAUGGAGUUGGAACGUUUGCCUACGUUUGCCGCUAGGGACGCUGUUCCAAAGUGCAUACAUGUUCUUUGAGUUA
rnacentral:pre_miRNA from 1 species